rnacentral:rRNA from 1 species
GUCUGGCAGGCAGUUUGACUGGGGCGGUCGCCUCCUAAAAGAUAACGGAGGCGCUCAAAGGUUUGCUCAGAAUGGUUGGAAAUCAUUCGUAGCGUGUAAAGGCAUAAGCAAGCUUGACUGUGAGACUGACAAGUCGAGCAGGUACGAAAGUAGGACUUAGUGAUCCGGUGGUUCCGUAUGGAAGGGCCAUCGCUCAACGGACAAAAGCUACCCCGGGGAUAACAGGCUCAUCUCCCCCAAGAGUCCACAUCGACGGGGAGGUUUGGCACCUCGAUGUCGGCUCAUCGCAUCCUGGGGCUGUAGUCGGUCCCAAGGGUUGGGCUGUUCGCCCAUUAAAGCGGUACGCGAGCUGGGUUCAGAACGUCGUGAGACAGUUCGGUCCCUAUCCGUCGUGGGCGCAGGAAAUUUGAGAGGAUCUGUCCUUAGUACGAGAGGACCGGGAUGGACAUACCUCUGGUGUACCAGUUGUUCUGCCAAGAGCACCGCUGGGUAGCUACGUAUGGAUUAGAUAAUCGCUGAAAGCAUCUAAGUGAGAAACUAACCUCGAGAUGAGAUUUCCCAUUCGUCAGAAGUAAGACCCCUGAGAGACGAUCAGGUAGAUAGGCUAGAAGUGGAAGUGUAGUGAUGCAUGGAGCGGACUAGUACUAAUAGGUCGAGGACUUAACCAAG